CACCGGCCGCUGCCCCCGGCCUCGCCGCUGCCCCGGGGAGGGAGAAGUGAGCCCCCGUCCCCGUCCCCGCCGCUUCCCGAGGCACGGACCAGCGACGGGUUCCUCAUCCUCGAGGACUCUCGGAGAAGAUAGAAUGCGUGGUACCUGGAGGAGGUCGCCCGUCGUUUAUGUUGAAAGCUGUUGCAAAUAUACCAAAGGGAAACGCCCCAAUGCCGAAUGACAUUUGGAAGCCACCAUCCCCAAACCCAAAGCCCUGGAAUCCCUGCAGAGAACAAAGCAACAGAAGAGAAAAAAAGGUUGUUCUGAAAACGACUGAAUUAUUGACAUUUACUACAUCCAAGAACCAAGAGUGGCAACAGAUGAAUGGUUAAGAAACAAAGAACCCAUUUUCAAGUAGUCUUCCUAAAUAAAAAAAAGUCUGGCAGAGCAUGAAGAAGACGUGGAAGCGAAGAUACGUGUUUAGGGAUUCAGCACAAAUCCCACUGAGUUGCAUAAAGAAUAAGCGUGGCUGAAAGAGCUGGUGAAACUGGACCUCCGACAAGCAGAUGGCACACUAGGACCUCAAAGCUUCAUGACAACUGAGAACACAGGAGGUCCACAAAAGAAGUAAGUGCAGGAAACUUUUAAGGUCUAUGUACUGUGUAUAAAUCUUACUAACAGACAAUAAGAAAGAAAUUUACUCCAAUACUUUAAAAACUAAAUCUAUAAAUCUAGUGAGAGAAACUGCAUACCAGGAAAACACAAGCCCAAUAGCUACUGUAAAAGAUCACGUUUCUAAACUCAGCAAAUGAAAAAUUACGCAUUUGCCAAAGUUCACUGAGCUGACACUAAAAAUACAAGAGAAACACUUCAAGAAAAACUGGGAGAACAGCAGGUGAACAAUAAUUCAACCUGAGAAAGACAGAGGGAAUAUAAACUAGAAGCUAAUGUCAUCUGUAUGAAACAGUUGUAGAAUACAUGCUCACAGCACUACAACAUUAGGAUGUUUGAAGCAUUUACUUUCUAAUACAUGCUCACAGCACUACAACAUUAGGAUGUUUGAAGCAUUUACUUUCUAAUACAUGCUCACAGCACUACAACAUUAGGAUGUUUGAAGCAUUUACUUUCUAAUCUUCUUUCAUGAGCAAUGAGAAAAAAUUCUGGUGAGGAUAUAGGACUCUGGCUAGUUUAUUAAUAAAACCCAAAGUUUAUUCCUCUUUGUGAUAUCUAAUACAUAACAAUGAAAUGAAAAGAUGAGCAUUGUUAGAUGUAAAAUUCCACAAGACAGACACUUUUCCAUGUAUCUUUCCUAAUGAAUCUUAUUUUAUCUAGGAUUACUGAAAUUGAAAAGAUCUAGUUUGUUUCUGAAACAAG